CCGAGACGGGUUGUCCCCCGAGCGAGACUCCCGGAUAAAAUGGCCCGCGGGCCCGUCCCGGAAGUGCCGUGCCCGGGUUCCGCAACCGAUCAGCCAGCAGCCGCUGCAACCGUGGGGAG
rnacentral:sRNA from 1 species